CAUUUCACAAAAUUUACCUAUAGGUAGGAUAUUCAUUGUUAUUGAUCUUUUUCAGAAAAAUCUAUUGGUAUCACUACAAAAUAGAAAUUUUGAUGAAUUGAUUAUGACCUGAAUUGCUGCUCAAGUAAAAAAGUCCAGAUCUCUUCUAUAGAUUAAUAUUGGAUAUGUUAUGUAUACAAAAUAUAUAAUACAUUCCCAGUAAAUGCAUAAAAUAAUGAUGAAUUACUUAAAAAUGUUUCAUUUAAUGUAAGAGGCUAAAUACAGAAUUAAGGUUACAUUGCCUUAUGUGAGAGUGUAUUUUUUUUUUCAAAUUACCAAUAAUAAUUGGGCAUUUCAACCCCUUAUUUUAAGAAAGGAGAAGGGCCAUUUAAAAUGCAACAUAAAGGGGUGUAAAUGUAGCUCAGUAAAAACUUUUAAACGAAUUCAUAGGAUGAAAUUGAAAUUUUUAGUUGUGCAUAAAUCUAACAGUAUGUGAUAAUAGUCACAAUUAAAGGCAUUUGAAACCAAAUGGACUAUAAGUUAAAAGUUACAAUUAUAAGCAUUUAAAACCAAAUAAAGGUAUGAAAAAGAUUGUUUGAAUGAUAGAUGUUUGCCCUAUGCCAACUAAGCACAUAAAUAAAGUUAUAUUUUCUGGUGACCAUUUUAUUUGGUUAGUAAAUUUGUAAUUUCAAGCACAAUUUUUUUUUUUUAUAUAUAUAUUAAACCUUUAAACUUCAUUAAAGUAAGAUGUUUUUUAUUUUAAGUGAUGUUUUUACCUAAUUUUGGAAGAUUCUUAAACAAUAAGAUGAACAGUUGCAAGCAAAAAAUCUCUCUUUUAGUAAUUGAAAAACUUUUUGAACAGGAUCUUUUCUUACAUUUUUUUCAGGAAACGAUUAAUGUACAAGUUUUUAGUGAAUUACCCCAUCUAAAAGCAAAAGGGUCUAUACUUGAUGAAUUGAAAUUUGCCUUGAUUAAAAAUACAGCAACAUAAGAUUUUAUAUCAACAAGCUUUCUGAAGUUGUUGAAUCUUUUAUUACUGUGUAAUAACAGGCUGUUAUAUGAUUUUUAUUUCCUGUCCAAUGGACACAUUAUGUUUUUGACUCUUUGUUUGCCAAUAGUCUCCUUUCUCAAAGGAACUUACUUUAUACAGAUAUGUGUGAAGCUAAGAACCUGAUGAGAUUGUAGAAUGUGCAUAACAUAGUGUCAAUUAAUCACUAUUUGUUUUGGUUUAAAGCUUUAUAUAUUGUUUCUUUUUAUAAUUUGUCUAUGACUUUGAACAUUUUAUUGCUAUAUAAAUUUGCAUAUAAACUUAUAUUUCAAAACUGGUUUUGUCUAUUAGUUUCCAUAUUUCUAUUUAUUUGUGAUCCUUUCUUUCAUUCUAAAUCUGAGGGGAAGAUACUGAUAAAAUAAAGUUAUUCUUAUUCUUUCACAUGACAUGGUUUUAAUGUAUAGGAUAAUGUAAAUACGUUUACAGCAAUUCUUUAUUAUCUUUAAAAAUAUGAUAAAAGAGUCUGUUUCUUUUGCUCUGUAAUAAAAUGCAGUUGUAUAUUGAAAAGGUUGAGAAUAAAAAUAAUCUGUCCUUAUUUGAAAGUGCUGGGUAAUUUUAUUUCAUAAAUGAAUGUAUCAAUUCUCCCUCAAAAUAUUUAAAGUAAGUACUGAACAAUUUAGAUUAUUUUCUUGUAUAAUGAAAACAUAUUUAUAUAUAUUAAAUUUAGCAAAAUUAGCAUUGAAAAUUAUCUUCGUCAAGAUACAGUAAAUGGGCUACAUCACAGAAUUUGGUAAAAGUUUGCAUACCACUUUUUUUCUUUUUGGACUACAUACAACUGAAAGUCCAAAAAAAUAAUGCAUUUAUCUUAUUUAUUUAUUGAAAUAUUGCUUAAAAAUUUCUUUAAAAAAAAUUUAACAUUUGUACAAAAAGGACUUAAAUUUGACAAAAAAUGUUUUUCAAUUUGUUUUAAACUCAAAUCUCAAAUAUCAAGCAAAAAGUAAAAUCACAAAAAUACUGAACUUAGAGGAAGAUCAAUUGGGAAAGUCCAAGCAAAGGGUAGUUGAAUGUUUUAUUUUUGUCACUUUUGAUGAUUAUCAUUUUUAUUUGUUUAGCAUUAUUGUAUUUUAUUCUUCAAACAUAUGAACACUGCUCCGUUUUUUCAAACAGUAAUUUAGUUAUUUUAGACAGGUAAAGGAUUAGGCAAGAUUAGUCAUGGACAGGUAUAACAUAAUUUGCUAGCUCAACCCAACUAUAUUUUAUUGAUAAUAUAAUUAUUGCUUUCUCUAACCAUUUACAGUACUUCUUUGUCCAUGUUCUGUUGUGAUUAAUCCUACACCAGUAGUCCUGUGAAAUCUACUGGAUUUAUUUUUAAUUUUAAAGGCCAGUUUUUGUUUUAUGUAUUUUUCUUGCAUUUGUAUCGUUAUGUCUGCUCAGUGAUUGUUAUCUAGUCCAUAAAUAUUCCACAUGGAAUUUAAAAUAAAUCAGAAUUUUUAUUUAAGCAUCAAUAUAUAAUAUUGAUCUAACAUUAACUAUUUAAAUAUUGGAAUUAUAAAUAUAUACCUAUACAAUAUACUUUGCUUUUGUUAUUGUUUGUUUUGCCUUUCACCACAAAAUGUUACAAAAACAGGAACAGGGCAACAAGACAGACAUUUUCUAAAAGCGGGACGAAAGAAACCAAAGGGACAGUCAAACUCAUAAAUCCAGAACAAACUGACAAUGCCAUGGCUAAAAACAAAAAAGACAAACAAACAACAGCACACACGACACAACAUAGAAAACCAAAGAAUAAACAACACGAACC
rnacentral:lncRNA from 1 species